AGAGUUUGAUCAUGGCUCAGAUUGAACGCUGGCGGCAUGCCUAACACAUGCAAGUCGAACGGCAGUGCGGGGGCAACCCUGGCGGCGAGUGGCGGACGGGUGAGGAAUGCAUCGGAAUCUGCCUGGUUGUGGGGGAUAACGUAGGGAAACUUACGCUAAUACCGCAUACGACCUACGGGUGAAAGUGGGGGACCGCAAGGCCUCACGCGAUCAGAGGAGCCGAUGUCGGAUUAGCUAGUUGGCGGGGUAAAGGCCCACCAAGGCGACGAUCCGUAGCUGGUCUGAGAGGAUGAUCAGCCACACUGGAACUGAGACACGGUCCAGACUCCUACGGGAGGCAGCAGUGGGGAAUAUUGGACAAUGGGCGCAAGCCUGAUCCAGCAAUGCCGCGUGUGUGAAGAAGGCCUUCGGGUUGUAAAGCACUUUUGUACGGGAAGAAAAGUCCGGGGUGAAUAUCCUCGGAUCAUGACGGUACCGUAAGAAUAAGCACCGGCUAACUUCGUGCCAGCAGCCGCGGUAAUACGUAGGGUGCGAGCGUUAAUCGGAAUUACUGGGCGUAAAGCGUGCGCAGGCGGUUUUGUAAGUCAGAUGUGAAAUCCCCGGGCUCAACCUGGGAACUGCGUUUGAAACUACAAGGCUAGAGUGUAGCAGAGGGGGGUAGAAUUCCACGUGUAGCAGUGAAAUGCGUAGAGAUGUGGAG
rnacentral:rRNA from 1 species